rnacentral:rRNA from 1 species
UACGUAGGGGGCAAGCGUUGUCCGGAAUCAUUGGGCGUAAAGCGCACGUAGGCGGCCUGUUAAGUCGGGUGUGAAAUCCCUGGGCUCAACCCAGGAAGUGCACUCGAAACUGGCAGGCUUGAGUACUGAAGAGGGUCGCGGAAUUCCCGGUGUAGAGGUGAAAUUCGUAGAUAUCGGGAGGAACACCAGUGGCGAAGGCGGCGACCUGGGCAGAUACUGACGCUGAGGUGCGAAAGCGUGGGGAGCAAACAGG